rnacentral:rRNA from 1 species
GAUGAACGCUGGCGGCGUGCCUAAUACAUGCAAGUCGAGCGAACGGACGAGAAGCUUGCUUCUCUGAUGUUAGCGGCGGACGGGUGAGUAACACGUGGAUAACCUACCUAUAAGACUGGGAUAACUUCGGGAAACCGGAGCUAAUACCGGAUGAUAUUUUGAACCGCAUGGUUCAAAAGUGAAAGACGGUCUUGCUGUCACUUAUAGAUGGAUCCGCGCUGUAUUAGCUAGUUGGUAAGGUAACGGCUUACCAAGGCAACGAUGCAUAGCCGACCUGAGAGGGUGAUCGGCCACACUGGAACUGAGACACGGUCCAGACUCCUACGGGAGGCAGCAGUAGGGAAUCUUCCGCAAUAGGCGAAAGCCUGACGGAGCAACGCCGCGUGAGUGAUGAAGGUCUUCGGAUCGUAAAACUCUGUUAUUAGGGAAGAACAUAUGUGUAAGUAACUGUGCACAUCUUGACGGUACCUAAUCAGAAAGCCACGGCUAACUACGUG